CUCCCCGCGGUAGACUUCAAAUACUCUUUGUCCUGCCCCUGCUUGGCGAAAUUUACCGAAAUUAUCUACCUAUCCCGCUGGAGUGGGAGCCGGGGGAGAGCUGGAACCGCGUCUCUGCUGCUCACCUUUGUGUCCUUAGCUCCUUCGCAUGGGGUCCGACCGCAACACGUGCGCUGGAUAAACGCUUGUUAACUGGAGCUCCCUCUUUGCCCACUAGCAGGGCAUUAGCUGGUGCUGAAGACAGUGGCUGCUUGGCGAGCCUGGAUCUCCAAGUGACCCCCUCAGCAACUCCUGAUGAACAGGCAAUCAGGAAAUGAUUCCUUUCCCGACUGCUUCUGUCUAGUGCCUGGGAAUCUUGAGUCAAUCCCUCAGUAAGUCAGUGACUAGGGAAAUCCCUCUCUGAGCCUCCCAGUUCAUGUUGCUUAGGGAACCUGAUAUUUUCGUGAAACCUGCCUACACAUGGGCAGCCCAACAGCAGAACAAAUGGUGGUGACCAAAGUGAACAAAGAAGUAUAGUUGUGCCAGCUUCGUAGUUGCCCAUGUGGACAAGUCAGCAGGAUCAGGACACGAGGAAGAGUAAAUGUGAGACAGUCAAUGUGACUUCUGCGAUAAACAGAUUUUUAAACCCCGAAAUUUUGCAAAAUUUUGGUGAAACCUGAACUUUCUUCGUUGCAUAUACUGGCACUAUCUGUACCAUCAUACAACUGUCUCACAUUAAAGCUAUUUUUCUUGGGCA
rnacentral:lncRNA from 1 species